AUUGAACGCUGGCGGCAUGCCUUACACAUGCAAGUCGAACGGCAGCACGGGUGCUUGCACCUGGUGGCGAGUGGCGAACGGGUGAGUAAUACAUCGGAACAUGUCCUGUAGUGGGGGAUAGCCCGGCGAAAGCCGGAUUAAUACCGCAUACGAUCUACGGAUGAAAGCGGGGGCCCUUCGGGCCUCGCGCUAUCGGGUUGGCCGAUGGCUGAUUAGCUAGUUGGUGGGGUAAAGGCCUACCAAGGCGACGAUCAGUAGAUGGUCUGAGAGGACGACCAGCCACACUGGGACUGAGACACGGCCCAGACUCCUACGGGAGGCAGCAGUGGGGAAUUUUGGACAAUGGGCGAAAGCCUGAUCCAGCAAUGCCGCGUGUGUGAAGAAGGCCUUCGGGUUGUAAAGCACUUUUGUCCGGAAAGAAAUCCUUGGCUCUAAUACAGUCGGGGGAUGACGGUACCGGAAGAAUAAGCACCGGCUAACUACGUG
rnacentral:rRNA from 1 species